rnacentral:rRNA from 1 species
UACGAAGGGAGCUAGCGUUGUUCGGAAUCACUGGGCGUAAAGCGCACGUAGGCGGAUGUGUCAGUCAGGGGGUGAAAUCCCGGAGCUCAACUUCGGAACUGCCCUUGAUACAGCACGUCUUGAGUCCGGAAGAGGUGGGUGGAAUUCCUAGUGUAGAGGUGAAAUUCGUAGAUAUUAGGAAGAACACCGGUGGCGAAGGCGGCCCACUGGUCCGGUACUGACGCUGAGGUGCGAAAGCGUGGGGAGCAAACAGG